rnacentral:miRNA from 9 species
CAGGAUUUUGGUUGAUAUUAAA